AUGACCAUGUCGCCUUGAAACACCGAUUCACUUAUGAUCACCGAAGUUAAGCAACACUGAUCCUAGUCAGUAUCUGGAUGGGUGACUGCUUGGGAAUACCAGGUACUGUA